GAAGGUAUAGCUCAGUGGUGAAGUGUGUGCCUAGCAACACAAGGUCCUGGGUUCAAUCCCCAGUACCGCCA
rnacentral:tRNA from 1 species